rnacentral:rRNA from 1 species
GAUGAACGCUGGCGGCGUGCUUGACACAUGCAAGUCGAACGAGAGAAGAUCGGUGCUUGCACUGAUCCGAUCGAGUGGCGGACGGGUGAGUAACGCGUGGGUAACCUGCCUCAUACAGGGGAAUAACAGUUGGAAACGGCUGCUAAAACCGCAUAAGCGCACAGUAUCGCAUGAUACAGUGUGAAAAACUCCGGUGGUAUGAGAUGGAGCCGCGUCUGAUUAGCUAGUUGGUGAGGUAACGGCCCAACAAGGCAACGAUCAGUAGCCGGCCUGAGAGGGUGAACGGCCACAUUGGGACUGAGACACGGACCAAACUCCUACGGGAGGCAGCAGAGGGGAAUAUUGCACAAUGGGGGAAACCCUGAUGCAGCGACGCCGCGUGAGUGAUGAAGUAUUUCGGUAUGUAAAGCUCUAUCAGCAGGGAAGAUAAUGACGGUACCUGACUAAGAAGCACCGGCUAAAUACGUGCCAGCAGCCGCCGCAG